rnacentral:rRNA from 1 species
UACGUAGGUGUCAAGCGUUGUCCGGAUUUAUUGGGCGUAAAGCGCCCGCAGGCGGCUUGCCAAGUCUGACGUGAAAUCUCCCGGCUCAACUGGGAGGGUGCAUCGGAAACUGGCAGGCUUGAGGCCGGGAGAGGUGAGUGGAAUUCCCAGUGUAGCGGUGAAAUGCGUAGAUAUUGGGAGGAACACCAGUGGCGAAGGCGGCUCACUGGACCGGUACUGACGCUGAUGCGCGAAAGCGUGGGGAGCAAACGGG